AAGUGCAUAUGAAUUUGAAAUCACCCCUGAGAGAAGCUAGGAAAGGUCAUAGAAACUCACAAUGGAUAGAAGCAAAAGAACUCAUGUAAUGAAAUGGUAUCACAUUCACGUGGGGAAUGAGAGGAGGGGUUCUGGCAGCGAGAAAAGACUUGGAAGAGGACAUUAAAGGUCUUUCUAAGCACUUCCCAUGAGAACAAAGCCAUACUUUAGCUAGAACCCAACAAGAAGCAGUCAGAUAGAUCAAAGAGUGCUGUGGUAGCAGUGUUGUAUUUGCUAAACAAAGGUCAGAUAGUCCCUUGUCUUUUUACUAAUGACCAACACAAGUGAUUGAAGUGACUCAAGAUCAUUGGCUUGGCAGAUCCUAUUGGUGGACAAUUGUCAAUAUGAAGAGUAUAAGGGACAAAGAAAUCACAGAAAACCAUCCCUGGAAUGGAGUGCAAAGGCCAUGUUUUCUAAACUGUGUCCUCUCUACAGUAAACCUAAUAAGUACUCAUCUUACUUCUUUAAGAUCUGUCAUGAGGGAAUAACUCCUUACUACUGGAGAGAGCCUAUUCCACUUUUUGAAAGCUCUUAUUGUUGUGACCUUCUGAAAUCUCUCCAUAUUAAGAGUCCCUGCUGGAAGGUACUGGAUCAAUACCAUCCCUUGCCAGUGCCAAGGGUAACAUGA
rnacentral:lncRNA from 1 species